rnacentral:rRNA from 1 species
AGAUUGAACGCUGGCGGCAUGCCUAACACAUGCAAGUCGAACGGGAGUAGCAAUACUCUAGUGGCGGACGGGUGAGGAAUACGUAGGAAUUUGCCCUUAAGUGGGGGAUAACCCGGGGAAACCCGGAUUAAUACCGCAUGACCUCGAAGAGCAAAGUGGGGGAUCGCAAGACCUCACGCUUUUGGAGAAGCCUACGUCGGAUUAGCUAGUUGGUGAGGUAAUGGCUCACCAAGGCGACGAUCCGUAACUGGUCUGAGAGGAUGAUCAGUCACACCGGAACUGAGACACGGUUCGGACUCCUACGGGAGGCAGCAGUGGGGAAUAUUGGACAAUGGGCGCAAGCCUGAUCCAGCAAUGCCGCGUGUGUGAAGAAGGCCUUGGUUGUAAGCACUUUAAGUUGGGAAGAAAAACGUCGACUACUAACACAGUAGAGUCUUGACGGUACCGACAGAAUAAGCACCGGCUAACGUCUAGU